UACGUAGGGUGCAAGCGUUAAUCGGAAUUACUGGGCAUAAAGCGCACGCAGGCGGUCUGUUAAGUCAGAUGUGAAAUCCCCGGGCUUAACCUGGGAACUGCAUUUGAAACUGGCAGGCUUGAGUCUUGUAGAGGGGGUAGAAUUCCAGGUGUAGCGGUGAAAUGCGUAGAGAUCUGGAGGAAUACCGGUGGCGAAGGCGGCCCC
rnacentral:rRNA from 1 species